UACGUAGGGGGCUAGCGUUGUCCGGAAUCAUUGGGCGUAAAGAGCACGCAGGCGGUUUGGCAAGUCGGAUGUGAAAACCCGGAGCUCAACUCCGGACCUGCAUCCGAAACUGCCCGACUAGAGGUAGGUAGGGGAGAUCGGAAUUCCUGGUGUAGCGGUGAAAUGCGCAGAUAUCAGGAGGAACACCGGUGGCGAAGGCGGAGCUCUGGGCCUUACCUGACGCUCAGGUGCGAAAGCUAGGGGAGCGAACAGG
rnacentral:rRNA from 1 species